rnacentral:rRNA from 1 species
UUGACCUCGGAUCAGCUAGGGAUACCCGCUGACUAAGCA